UACGUAGGGUGCAAGCGUUGUCCGGAAUUAUUGGGCGUAAAGAGCUCGUAGGCGGCUUGUCACGUCGGGUGUGAAAGCCCGGGGCUUAACCCCGGGUCUGCAUUCGAUACGGGCUGGCUGGAGUUCGGUAGGGGAGAUCGGAAUUCCUGGUGUAGCGGUGAAAUGCGCAGAUAUCAGGAGGAACACCGGUGGCGAAGGCGGAUCUCUGGGCCGAUACUGACGCUGAGGAGCGAAAGCGUGGGGAGCGAACAGG
rnacentral:rRNA from 1 species